GGGGCCGUGGUGCAGCGGUUUAACAUGUCGGAUUGUCGAUCCGAAGAUCGCGGGUUCAAAUCCCGUCGGCCCCG
rnacentral:tRNA from 1 species